AGCCCCUUAGCUCAUUUAGGCUAGAGCGUUUGAUUCAUAUUCAAAAAGUAGUUGGUUCAAAUCCAGCAGGGGCUA
rnacentral:tRNA from 1 species